rnacentral:lncRNA from 10 species
UUUUUAUUUAAGAUGUGUUGGCUCUCAAAAGCAGAGGCGGAGCCUGCUCUGCCAUUCAAAAUGAACGUAGAGAUGAUGAGACUGCUCAGUUCCUACUCAUUUCCCAUGACUGUGUUCAAACGGAUGUGCUUAGUUCUUGGUAAAGAGUAAAAUGCCUCUUCCUUCUUCUGUGCCUAGUCCAGAUCUUUGAAGUCUGAUGUCUGCAAAGCUCUGCAGUGCCGGAGCUGUCAGGCAGUUUGCCACCCUCCUUCUCCACCUAUCCUGUGUUUCCCAAACAAGGUUAUUUCUUGAGGGCUACCCUUUGUUUUAAAUAUCUUACAGUCAUCCAAGCAUGGUAAAGCAAUUUUGGAUCAUUAUAUAAUUUUUCCACAAAAUUCAAUAGGCAUUUAUAAAAUCUGUUGUGUUUGGCAUUGUAUUUGGCCUUAAAGAGGAAACAGAAUAUUUGGAACAUAGUCCCUGAUGAAUGCAAGGAUCUCUCUUGUUUACCAAUAAAAAAGAAAAGAAAUUAUACAGAUACAAGAAUUGGGGCCGGGUUUGCCAUCCCACAUCUAUCAGUGGCUCACAUCUAUAAAUUCCAGCACCUUGUGAGUCCAAGGUGGGAGGAUUGCUUGAGGCCAGGAGCUCAAGAGCAGCUUGGUAAUAUUGUGAGACCCCUAUGUCUACAAAAAAAAAAAAAAAAGAAAAGAAAAGAAAAAUUAAUUAGCUGGGCAAGGUAGCAGGCACCUGUGGGCCCAGCUACUCAGGAGGCUGAGAUGGGAGAAUUGUGUGAGUCCAGGAGUUCAAGGCUACAGUGAGCUGUGAUGACACCAGUGCAUUCCAGCCAAGACCCUGUCUCAAAAAAGAAAAAAACAAAAAACAAGAAAAACACAAUUGGAACAUAUCAAACAGUAGCAUGUAAAUAGAAGAAGGCAAAUUGUGCUACAUAUAAAAAUGAGGCAAUCUACAUGAUUUUUGACCAUUUCAACUGUGUAUUUCUUUAAUGUGCAUAAAUAAAAAGCCUCAGUUCUUUUGAAUGCCUUCUUUCUUACUCAUUCUGAUCUUUAGUGUGUAAUCCAUAAAAGGCCAUUGGGCCCUCCAUAAAUCUUCUUUAAUUCAAAGCAUAACUCUCAGAGUUCAAAAACUGAGCAGAUUAGCUAUUGCUGCUCCUCACUGAAAUUGUCGGUGUAUAAACGUCUCCCUGGAGUCACCACUACAGUCGGCAUAAAAAUAAAUCAAAAGUCAGCUAUAAGUUCCAAUGAUUUAUCAAUGAGUUUUUUAAUGGUGUGUGUCUGAAUUAUAGCAUUUUUACAAACCCCACC